CCAGACUCCUACGGGAGGCAGCAGUGGGGAAUAUUGCACAAUGGGGGAAACCCUGAUGCAGCGAUGCCGCGUGGAGGAAGAAGGUUUUCGGAUUGUAAACUCCUUUUAUCAGGGACGAUAAUGACGGUACCUGAAGAAAAAGCUCCGGCUAACUACGUGCCAGCAGCCGCGGUAAUACGUAGGGGGCAAGCGUUAUCCGGAUUUACUGGGUGUAAAGGGAGCGUAGACGGCCAGACAAGUCAGAAGUGAAAGCCCAGGGCUCAACCCUGGGACUGCUUUUGAAACUGCCGGGCUGGAGUGCAGGAGAGGUAAGCGGAAUUCCUAGUGUAGCGGUGAAAUGCGUAGAUAUUAGGAGGAACACCAGUGGCGAAGGCGGCUUACUGGACUGUAACUGACGUUGAGGCUCGAAAGCGUGGGGAGCAAACAGGAUUAGAUACCCUAGUAU
rnacentral:rRNA from 1 species